UACGUAGGGGGCAAGCGUUGUCCGGAAUUAUUGGGCGUAAAGAGCGUGUAGGCGGUCCGGUAAGUCAGCUGUGAAAGUCAAGGGCUCAACCCUUGAAUGCCGGUUGAUACUGUCGGGCUAGAGUCCGGAAGAGGCGAGUGGAAUUCCCGGUGUAGCGGUGAAAUGCGCAGAUAUCGGGAGGAACACCAAUGGCGAAGGCAGCUCGCUGGGACGGUACUGACGCUGAGGCGCGAAAGCUAGGGUAGCAAACGGG
rnacentral:rRNA from 1 species